AUAAAUCGAGUUGGGGCCAUGAAAACUUUUCAUCAGGAUCACAUAUACUACAAAUCUACGAAGUUUCAGCCAAAUUCACCGAGACCCAUUUUCCAUAUGUUUUGUGCGGGGUUCCAUAUCCUUUGUAGUUACAUUGUUGAUCUUUACAGCAAAAAACAAAUUAUCUCAUAAUAUUGUAAAAACAUUAGCUUAGGGAACUUUAUUUUACAUCCUGAAUAUUUCAUUUGUAGUCUUGAAAAUUACAUUUAUAGUUAUUGUUUAUAUUUGUAGAAAAACAAUCUAAAAUUUUACCACGUACGUUCUUCGUCCUUAAAUGAAGUUUAUGAAGAAAAUAAAGAGAAUUAUAGAUCAACAAAAUCUGGUAAGUCUUUUGAAUAGAGUUAAGUAAAAUUAAGCAUUAAUAUAAAUUUGUAGUUACACUGUUGAUCUUUACAGUGAAAAACAAAACAAAAUGGUUAUCGCAAUCUUCGAAUUACACAAACACGAAAUGUUGCGAAAAAGACCAUGACUUCAGGACCAGAUAUAACAUGUCAAGAUGACUUCAAUAUGGAAUCAAGUUCUUUCUAUUCACAGUCAUUAAACUAUGGCAAUUAUUUUACAGAAAAUGAAAACUGGUUGGAAGG